CCUUCAUUGCAUUGAAUUUUUUUUCACUUUUUUUAGGUUGCGACUGGAUUGAUUUUUAAUUUCUGGACUCUUAUUCUCCGUCUAAGAUAGAGUUGGAAGCGCAGAAGCAUCUUCCGCUGUUUGCUCUGUUUUUUUCCCUUUUUAAGGUACUACCUUCUUUAUUCUGAUGAAAUUGGUACUCUUCCAUAAUAGCGUCCAUGUCGAUUUCUGGAAUUCAAGGUCAACCCCUGGAGAUCACUAACUACAGCAAAUUGAAGGAUACGGAGUGGAUUUCAAGACAAGAUCCUUACAUUUUUCUGGAGUUCCAGCACUAAAUUCCGUACCCGUACCCACACAGACAGUGGAAAAACCCUACUUUUGAAGAGAAAUUUGUCUUCUCCUUGAUUGAAGGGCUAAGGAAGGUCACUGUUGCU